rnacentral:lncRNA from 1 species
UUCAGAGGAAGUUACAGUAGAUAAGGUGUGUUCAGAGGAAGUUACAGUAGAUAAGGUGUGUUCAGAGGAAGUUACAGUAGAUAAGGUGUUCAGAGGAAAUUACAGUAGAUAAGGUGUGUUCAGAGGAAGUUACAGUAGAUAAGGUGUGUUCAGAGGAAAUUACAGUAGAUAAGGUGUGUUCAGAGGAAGUUACAGUAGAUACGGUGUGUUCAGAGGAAAUUACAGUAGAUAAGGUGUUCAGAGGAAGUUACAGUAGAUAAGGUGUGUUCAGAGGAAGUUACAGUAGAUAAGGUGUGUUCAGAGGAAGUUACAGUAGAUACGGUGUGUUCAGAGGAAUUUACAGUAGAUAAGGUGUGUUCAGAGGAAGUUACAGUAGAUAAGGUGUGUUCAGAGGAAGUUACAGUAGAUAAGGUGUGUUCAGAGGAAGUUACAGUAGAUAAGGUGUGUUCAGAGGAAGUUACAGUAGAUAAGGUGUUCAGAGUGGCACCAGCUCAUCAUCAUUCCCCGUGAAGCCCAAGGGAAUGUCCCAAAUGGCAACCUAUUCCCUGUACAGUGCACAACAUUUGACCAGAGCCUAUAGGCUGUCACGUCUGCUCCCGCUCCCCCGUCUGGCGCUCGAGGGCUGCC